rnacentral:rRNA from 1 species
GAGUUUGAUCAUGGCNNNNGAUGAACGCUANNNGCAGGCCUAAUACAUGCAAGGCGAGGGGGCAUUUCGGUGUCACCGUCGUACGGGUGCGUAACGCGUAUGCAACCUACCCACCACUGGGGGAUAGCCCGGGGAAACCCGGAUUAAUACCGCAUAACACAGGGGGCCCGCAUGGUNUUAUUUGUUAAAGAUUUAUCGGUGGUGGAUGGGCAUGCGUUCGAUUNNNUAGUUGGCGGGGUAACGGCCCACCAAGGCUACGAUCGAUAGGGGAGCUGAGAGGUCGAUCCCCCACACGGGCACUGAGAUACGGGCCCGACUCCUACGGGAGGCAGCAGUAGGGAAUAUUGGGCAAUGGAUGCAAGUCUGACCC